AUAUUAAUAAGCGGAGGAAAAGAAAUUAACCAGGAUUCCCCUAGUAACGGCGAGUGAAGCGGGAUGAGCUCAAGCUUAAAAUCUCUGUGCAAGUUUUGCAUGGCGAAUUGUAGUCUAUAGAGGCGCUGUCAGUGCAGGCAUUUGGGGUAAGUUCCUUGGAAGAGGACAGCAUCGAGGGUGAUACUCCCGUUUGUACCCGAGUGCUUUGUGCGUACGACAC
rnacentral:rRNA from 1 species